AAAAACCCAGGUGGUGUGAGAUGGAUCCGCGUCUGAUUAGCCAGUUGGCGGGGUGACGGCCCACCAAAGCGACGAUCAGUAGCCGACCUGAGAGGGUGACCGGCCACAUUGGGACUGAGACACGGCCCAAACUCCUACGGGAGGCAGCAGUGGGGAAUAUUGCACAAUGGGCGCAAGCCUGAUGCAGCGACGCCGCGUGAGUGAAGAAGUAUCUCGGUAUGUAAAGCUCUAUCAGCAGGGAAGAAAAUGACGGUACCUGACUAAGAAGCCCCGGCUAACUACGUGCCAGCAGCCGCGGUAAUACGUAGGGGGCAAGCGUUAUCCGGAUUUACUGGGUGUAAAGGGAGCGUGGACGGCGACGCAAGUCUGGAGUGAAAGCCCGGGGCCCAACCCCGGGACUGCUUUGGAAACUGUGCUGCUGGAGUGCAGGAGAGGUAAGUGGAAUUCCUAGUGUAGCGGUGAAAUGCGUAGAUAUUAGGAGGAACACCAGUGGCGAAGGCGGCUUACUGGACUGUAACUGACGUUGAGGCUCGAAAGCGUGGGGAGCAAACAGGAUUAGGUACCCUGGUAGUCCACGCCGUAAACGAUGAAUGCUAGGUGUCGGGGGGCAAAGCCCUUCG
rnacentral:rRNA from 1 species